rnacentral:rRNA from 1 species
AUACGGAGGGUGCAAGCGUUAUCCGGAAUUAUUGGGUUUAAAGGGUCCGUAGGCGGCUAGAUAAGUCAGUGGUGAAAUUCUCUCGCUCAACGAGAGACCUGCCAUUGAUACUGUCUUGGCUAGAGUUACAGUGAGGUGAGUGGAAUGUGUGGUGUAGCGGUGAAAUGCAUAGAUAUCACACAGAACACCGAUUGCGAAGGCAGCUCACUAACUGUAUACUGACGCUGAUGGACGAAAGCGUGGGGAGCAAACAGGAUUAGAUACCCUAGUAGUCC